AUACGGAGGGAGCAAGCGUUAUUCGGAAUCACUGGGCGUAAAGGACGCGUAGGCGGGUUUGUAAGUCAGGUGUGAAAUCCUACAGCUCAACUGUAGAACUGCGCUUGAAACUACAGACCUAGAGUAUGGAAGGGGCAGAUGGAAUUAGUGGUGUAGGGGUAAAAUCCGUAGAUAUCACUAGGAAUACCGAAAGCGAAGGCGAUCUGCUGGGACAUUACUGACGCUGAGGCGUGAAAGCGUGGGGAGCAAACAGGAUUAGAAACCCCAGUAGUCC
rnacentral:rRNA from 1 species